AAUUUAACUGUACAAGGGUAGCAUAAUAAUUAGUUUUUUAAUUGAGGACUUGUAUGAAAGGUUUUACGAAAUAUUAACUUUAUUAUAGUAAUUAAUAUAAUUUUAUUUUUUAGUAAAAAAGCUGAAAUUUUUAUAUAAGACGAGAAGACCCUAUAGAUUUUUAUAAUUUAUAGUAAUAAAUAAAAUAAGUAUUUAAUUUAUUUAUUUAUUUGAUUUAUUUUAUUGGGGUGAUGGUAAAAUUAGUUUAAUUUUUAUAUGAUUUUUACAUUUAUUUAUGAAUAAUUGAUCCAUUAUUAAUGAUUAUAAGAUUUAAUUACCUUAGGGAUAACAGCAUAAUUUGUUUGGAAAGUUCUUAUUGAUAAGCGAGAUUAUGACCUCGAUGUUGGAUUAAGAUUUAUUUUAGGGGCAGAAA
rnacentral:rRNA from 1 species